GUUGUCUGAUUCCAAGGUUGAAGAUGCAUCCUUCAGUGGGUUAGGGAUUCUGAAUUUUGUUAAGGACAAAUUGACUGUUGAUGGAACUGGAAACCUUUUGGCUGCAGAAGAAGGGCAGCCAGGAAAAGAUGCAUGUGAAUGCUCUGAAAGAUGAUAAGCAUGUUCAGAAAGUGAUUUCUGCUAGGGACCAAUCAUCCAAGGUAUAAACUUGUUUUACUUGUGGUAAAUUUGCGCAAGUUAAGAUGGCAAUAGAAGUUGAAAUAUGUGUUUAAGCUGAGGUUAAGCUGAUGUACUUUUCUAAGACCAUUCUGAGUAUGGCAUCAAAUGGAAUAAAAAAGCAUAAAUGUUGAUGGAGAAAUAAAGGUGCAAAAUUCCUAGUUGUCAAAUGAGAUUUGAAGGGAAAAUAAUGCUGAUGCUCUUUUUGCGCUUAUGUUUGUUUACUAGAUGAGACAUGAGAGUGAAAUAUUACAAAAUCAAGAAAAUGUUUCCAUGAAGGAGGCGAUGGCAAGGAUUUCAGAAUUACAGAAACUUGAAAAAGAGUAUGAGGUUUUAAAGGCUGCAGCAGAAAGGGCAUUUGAUGACCAACAUCCUAUUGACUCUUACCUUGACCAGCUUAGCAAGCAACUAGAUUCCAAAAGGAUAAUAUUGUGGAAUUGGAGACCAAGUCCAAGUGGGACGCUUUCAGAAAGCCUCUGGAGGAGAAAAAGAGAAGCUUUCGGACUUUCUCUAUGCAAACAUACCACAGGCUCGAGAGAAGCUAAAAAAGUUGGAGGGAAGUUGAGCUGGAAAAGCAGCCUGUCUUAUCUGAAAUUAGGAGGCAGUAUGUUGUUGAAACCAUGACGAAGGCAUUCUAUAAAUAUUUUUGCACAUUCUUUAAGAUAUCUAUUGUUAUUCUGUAGGGAGGAGGAACAUUCAAAACUUUCUGUGGAUCUUGAGAAGCUAUCUAAUCUGCCAACUAGAACAUCCUAUAUAGAGCAUAUAAAGUAGAUCACCAAAAACAGUCAAGAAAAGGACGCUGACAUAGAGCAGAUUUUAAAAGAAACCAGAAAGCUUCAGUUAGAAAGCAACUCUA
rnacentral:misc_RNA from 1 species